rnacentral:lncRNA from 1 species
ACAAGGACAUCAUCUUGAUCAUGCAGCUCUCGAGAGAUAACCUCACCCUCUAGACCUCUGAUUCGCAGAGCCAAUAAACAUAUUUCAUGGGAGCCGCCCCUGAAUCGCUUACAGUGAUUUGCCCGGUUGAUGAAAAAUCCCAGAUGUACCACUUCUAAGGCCCUGGACUUUUACUAUGCUUUGGGCACCCAAACUGGUUGAGCCGCCCCUGAAUCGUUUAUAGGCUGUAAUGAAGGUUCUACCAGAACUAAAUGGAAAACUGACAGGUGUGGCCUUUAACUUGUCAACUUGAGAAGAAGGCUUCUUAUGAAAAUGUUAAAGCUGCAGUCAAGUAUGCACUAUAAAACGGGUCGGUUUCAAGCAACAUAUGAUAUCAAUGACAUAAACAAAGGAGCUGUGCUGAUAUUUAUUUAGCGAUGAAGCUUAAAAUUAGACAAUGUAUGCAUUAAAAGCACCAUGACACAGAUCUGUGUACUUUAUAAUAUAUAUUUGCAUAACUUG